UAAUAUAUAUUUUAUUAUAUAUGUAUAUUAAUUUUAUUCGUCGUCGUAUCGAUGUCAAAAUGAUCGAAUCGGCAUUGAUUCGAUAUCGAUUCGACCAUCAAUUUCUCACUGGGAGAGAUGACAAUGAUUUUUGUCACGGAAGGUUAUGGUUUACUUUGACAGCUGUCAACAUACGAAUCUGCAUAUCCUUGUAAUUUUGCAAAGUGAUAUAUUUUGUUGUGCUGGAAUUAUAUAUAUUUGCUAGAUCUAGCAGUUUUCAAUGCCAAAGAAUAUUUUAAGUAUCCGCACCUGGAUUAUAUUUGAUAAGUAUAUGUAUUAUUGCAACUAGAUACACACACAUAUAUGCAUGUCUAUAUAUAUUAAAUUAUGCGCAUCUGUGCAUAUAUCUAAAGAUCUAGCAGUUUUCAAUGCCAAAGAAUAUAUUUCAAGUAUCCACACUUGUCAAUGUGUACAUCUUACAAUUAAUCAAGCAGCAGAACUGAUGAUUUUUGCAAUCAAAGUGGAGUUGAGGGAUCUUUGUUCAGAUUACAAUGAACAACUGAAAAAGAUUUAAAUUAAUCUGCUGUUAAGCUUGUUGUGACGAUGUCGACCGAUCAGAUUGCCCGAGUAUAGAGAACGACGGAUUUUUCUGUACAAGUGCUUUAACAUGAAGCCAAGUGUUGGGUUUGAGAUGCAGCAUUUAAUGCAGAUUCACAUACAAUAUAUAUUUACUACCUCUUCAGACGGAGUCGCGAAAUUGUGGAUUGCAUUUACAGGAAUAGAACGAGAAUGUUAAGGAAGGAUAUUAAAAAGCUGUUAUAGCUCUUACUUUGCAUGAAUUAAUGCGUCGUCUACAAUGGCAGCAAGCAGUACAGAGUAUACAGAGUAAGUAGUAAACAAUACGAAAUGGGAUUUGUUCAUUUCGUUACUCUUGACGAAAUGAUGAGCAAAUCCCAUUUCGCAUUGCUUAUUGCUUACUGCUUACUCUGUACUCUGUACUCGCUGUACUGCUUGCUGCUAUUGUAGACGACGCAUUAGAAUAAGUUUUCGCGAGUUAAGAAUAGAAAAUGAAUAUUUAAAUAUUUUCUGUUUUGCUUUUUAUAAAAAUGAUUUGUAAUUUCAUUCAUAUUAUGUAUCAUCGUUAUACAUGCGAAAAAACUCUCAAACAAUA